UGGGGAAUAUUGGACAAUGGGCGCAAGCCUGAUCCAGCCAUGCCGCGUGAGUGAUGAAGGCCCUAGGGUUGUAAAGCUCUUUCACCGGUGAAGAUAAUGACGGUAACCGGAGAAGAAGCCCCGGCUAACUUCGUGCCAGCAGCCGCGGUAAUACGAAGGGGGCUAGCGUUGUUCGGAAUUACUGGGCGUAAAGCGCACGUAGGCGGACAUUUAAGUCAGGGGUGAAAUCCCAGGGCUCAACCCCGGAACUGCCUUUGAUACUGGGUGUCUAGAGUUCGAGAGAGGUGAGUGGAAUUCCGAGUGUAGAGGUGAAAAUUCGUAGAUAUUCGGAGGAACACCAGUGGCGAAGGCGGCUCACUGGCUCGAUACUGACGCUGAGGUGCGAAAGCGUGGGGAGCAAAACAGGAUUAGAUACCCUGGUAGUCCACGCCGUAAACGAUGGAAGCCAGCUGUCGGCAAGUUUACUUGUCGGUGGCGCAGCUAACGCAUUAAGCUUCCCCGCCUGGGGAGUACGGUCGCAAG
rnacentral:rRNA from 1 species